GCAGAGAUGUUUGGAGUAGUGGGCUUUUCGGGGAAAGUGAGAUUUAAAAACGACUUUAACGCUUUUAGUAAAAAGUUCUCCAGGAGAUGUAUGCUUCCCUGCUGUAGUACAGGGAAAAUGCAGCCAAUUAUGCCGUCACUGAUGGCCGACUCGUCCUAAGGAUACCUACCGCUGCCUGCGAUGAUGCUCUCACUCGUGAGCCCCCUGGACUGGAAGCUCCACGAGCCAAGAAGCGGUUCCCGUAACAUACUGCUGGUGCAUCUGACCCCAUUUUGGUGUCUGCUUCUGAGGAGACUCACCCUGACACAGAAGAGUUGGAGACAACCCUUUAUUUCUCCCUGUGGCCGUUCCCUCCUGGUUUUGAUUUAGGCCCUGUAACAGCUUGCAAGAUACUUCAAUCCGUCAUCGGACAAACGUUCCACUGCCCAGGCAGCGUCGAGUGGUGGGAAGAGCACGGACUCGGGAGCCAGACAGAUCUGGGGUGGAGCGCUGACUCCCACACCAGGGCCUUCUCAGAUAAGUUCAUGUGAUCUUUUGGAGCCUCAGUUUCUGCAUGUGUGUGAUACGGAGAGCCUAUGUUACAGGUUGCUUUGAGGAUUCGAAAUGAUAGAAGUGAAGCACCUAGCCAGUGCCCAGCACAUCGUAGGUGCUCCCUAAUUGGUAGAGUGUAAUAGAAGGGUGGGAAUGCUUGUCCUUAUGACCCUUAAGGAGGCAGUGUAGAGGGGGACACAAUGUAUGUGGCGGUGAGGAGACAAUGAGCUGCUAAGAUGAGGGAGAAACAAAUGUGAU